AAGAGCAGCUGGAACGAAAUAGAGUUGAACUCGAGCAGUGGAAGACGAAUUUUCACUAUCAACUCCAAGCAUGUGAAUAUCAAUACACAGAGAAGCUGAAACUAUACAAAGAGGAGUUGAAACGAAAAAGAGAUGAACUC